UACGUAGGGGGCAAGCGUUGUCCGGAAUCAUUGGGCGUAAAGAGCGUGUAGGCGGCCUGGUAAGUCCGCUGUGAAAGUCCAGGGCUCAACCCUGGAAUGCCGGUGGAAACUGUCAGGCUCGAGUCCGGAAGAGGCGAGUGGAAUUCCUGGUGUAGCGGUGAAAUGCGCAGAUAUCAGGAGGAACACCGGUGGCGAAGGCGGGUCUCUGGGCCGAUACUGACGCUGAGGAGCGAAAGCGUGGGGAGCGAACAGG
rnacentral:rRNA from 1 species